rnacentral:rRNA from 1 species
AUUGAACGCUGGCGGAAUGCUUUACACAUGCAAGUCGAACGGCAGCACGGACUUCGGUCUGGUGGCGAGUGGCGAACGGGUGAGUAAUGUAUCGGAACGUGCCCAGUCGUGGGGGAUAACGUAGUGAAAAUUACGCUAAUACCGCAUACGAUCUAUGGAUGAAAGCGGGGGAUCGCAAGACCUCGCGCGAUUGGAGCGGCCGAUAUCAGAUUAGGUAGCUGGUGGGGUAAAGGCCCACCAAGCCCACGAUCUGUAGCUGGUCUGAGAGGACGACCAGCCCCACUGGAACUGAGGCACGGUCCAGACUCAUACGGGAGGAAGCAGUGGGGAAUUUUGGACAGUGGGCGAAAGACUGAUCCAGCCAUUCCGCGUGCAGGAUGAAGGGCCUCGGGUUGUAAACUGCUCUUGUACAGAACGAAAAGGUUUCUACUAAUACUAGGAGCUCAUGACGGUACUGUAAGAAUAAGCACCGGCUAACUACGUGCCAGCCGCCGCGGUAA